UGCUCCGUGCCCCGUCCCCCUUUUGGCUCUUGGGUCCUCUCAACCGGUGGUAAGUGUUCUCCCUCUCCGUGUUAGACCGAACGAUAUUCUGUGGCUAACGUUAUUGUGGUCACAGGUAGAUGUCUUCCUGCCGUGUGGGUUUUUCUCCCCCUCCCCCUCUCCCUGUGCAGGUUUGACCUGGGAAACAGGGAAUGCUCAUCAGCUGGCUGAAAUCCACCGGGGCGGCUGUAGGCUGGUGGUGGCGCCGGUGGUGUCGGUGGUGGUGGUCUUCUUCGUGUGUCGUGUCCCAUUGGGUUGUUGUGCUAUCACUGGGUGAACUCUGGUUUGGUUUUCUCUAAGUUUGUUCUAUUAAUUUUCCUUCCCCUUCACCGGCGCUUCUCACCAUUAGGCCUUA